rnacentral:tRNA from 1 species
AAUUUAAAUAGCUUAUAAAGAGCGUAGUAUUGAAGAUACUAAGGAGGUUUAUUACUUUUAAAUA